rnacentral:rRNA from 1 species
ACGCUAGCUACAGGCUUAACACAUGCAAGUCGUGGGGCAGCGGAUACUUAGCUUGCUAAGUAUGCCGGCGACCGGCGCACGGGUGAGUAACGCGUACCGAACCUGCCCAUCACACAGGGAUAGGCUUGCGAAAGCAAGAUUAAUACCUGAUGGUCUCAAUUUUAUGCAUGUAAGAUUGAGUAAAGCCUUCGGGCGGUGAUGGAUGGCGGUGCGUCCCAUUAGGAAGUUGGCGGGGUAACGGCCCACCAAUCCUUCGAUGGGUAGGGGUUCUGAGAGGAAGGUCCCCCACAUUGGAACUGAGAUACGGUCCAAACUCCUACGGGAGGCAGCAGUGAGGAAUAUUGGUCAAUGGGCGAGAGCCUGAACCAGCCAAGUAGCGUGCGGGAUGAAGGCCCUUGUGGUCGUAAACCGCUUUUAUCAGUGAAUAAAGUGCAUCACGUGUGGUGUCAUUGCAGGUAGCUGAAGAAAAAGGACCGGCUAAUUCCGUGCCAGCAGCCGCGGUAAUACGGAAGGUCCGGGCGUUAUCCGGAAUUAUUGGGUUUAAAGGGAGCGCAGGCGGGAGUGUAAGUCAGCUGUUAAAUAUCAGGGCCCAACUCUGUUAUGCAGUUGAAACUAUAUUUCUUGAGUACGCACAGGGAUGGCGGAAUUCAGGGUGUAGCGGUGAAAUGCUUAGAUAUCCUGAAGAACUCCGAUCGCGAAGGCAGCCAUCCGGAGCGUAACUGACGCUGAGGCUCGAAGGUGCGGGUAUCAAACAGGAUUAGAUACCCUGGUAGUCCGCACGGUAAACGAUGAAUACUCGCAGUUCGGUCUUUAUGGUCGAGCUGUCCAGCGAAAGCGUUAAGUAUUCCACCUGGGGAGUACGCCGGCAACGGUGAAACUCAAAGGAAUUGACGGGGGCCCGCGACAAGC